rnacentral:lncRNA from 1 species
UCCAACCAUGUAAAAAUGUAAUACCUUAUCAUGAGUGGGCGAUGAGGAUUGCAAUGACUUUAAAAAACAGGAUAUGAAUUUCGCAUUUUUUGGUUUCCUUGUCUCUGAGCCUCAGGUUUUAUUUUCAUGAUAUUGGUGAGAUAUGUGAUGUUUUUGAGUUUGGUGAGACGUGUGGUUAUAUAAGAUAUACGAUGGCGUUUUUCGGUAAGAUAAUAGUCCCAUUUAUUAAAAUAAAAUUUAAAGGAGAUGUCAACUUAGCAUAUUCUAAAAAUAUUCUUUACGAAAUUUUGGGGUUACAAAGGUCAAUACAUGAUGUUAUAAUGUAUAGGGUUAGACCAAAACAUAAUAAAAGGAAAGAGUCCAAACAACCUUUAUAAGUAGAUUUAUCAAGACUGCUUCUCUUUUAAUAGAAUAGAUUCCUACGACGGCUGUGCUCUCCGGCGGUGUUGCGCCCAUAGUGUUACUGUCGAAAAAGGUUUGUAUGGUUUAUUUUUGUUUUAACUUAAUUUUUUUUGCUCCAAAUCUUAAGUUCCACCUUUUUGCUUAGCCUUUUCUUAGUAAAUCUGAAAUUUUGUAUACUUCUUUUCUUUUUUUGGUGUUGGGUUUCUGAUGUUCGAUAUGUGCUCAGAUAUACUUUUCUCUCGUUUUAGAUCUACUCGGUUGGAGUGAUUCCGAAAGUGGUGGGGUCUCUGGUUUUCUCUUGAUCCGGUAGGGUUUGUGGUUCGUUUUGGAACCACCUACUGGUCUGGGCCUUAGUCUUGGAGGAAUAUGACGCUCUUGGUCUAGCUGCAUAAGAAGUGGUUUCCUGUCACUGUCUUGCCUCGUUUCUGUAGGAGAAAUCGGGUUAAUUCUUUUGUUGAGUGGUUCAAGAUUACGGUGGUUAUGUGGCUCAUCGAGGAAGUGGUUUUCUGUUGGUGUAGUUGUAGAAGCGAACCCUGUUCUUCUUAUCUUUCGCAUUAGAGUAGGCGGGGAU